GACGAACGCUGGCGGCGUGCUUAACACAUGCAAGUCGAACGGAAAGGCCCUGCGUUUGUGGUGUGCCCGAGUGGCGAACGGGUGAGUAACACGUGAGUAUCCUGCCCUUCUCUUUGGGAUAACUUCAGGAAACUGGGGCUAAUACCGGAUCGGAUCCCCUGCUGCAUGGUGGGGGUUGGAAAUUCGCGGCGGGCGGGGAUGGACGCGCGGCUUACGAGCUAGUUGGUGGGGGAGGGGCUUACCCAGGGUUUGACGGGUACCCGGCUCGUGAGGGUGACCGGGCACAUUGGGACUGAGAGACGGAGCAGAGUGGUACGGGAGGCAGUAGUGGGGAAUAUUGCACAAUGGGCGGGAGCGUGAUGCAGAAGCCCCGCGUGCGGGAUGACGGCCUUCGGGUUAAAAACCGCUUUAGCCUGAGACGAAGCGUGAGUGACGGUACUGGAUGAAGAAGCACCGGCUAACUACGUG
rnacentral:rRNA from 1 species